UGGGGAAUUUUGGACAAUGGGCGAAAGCCUGAUCCAGCAAUGCCGCGUGUGUGAAGAAGGCCUUCGGGUUGUAAAGCACUUUUGUCCGGAAAGAAAUCCUUGGCUCUAAUACAGUCGGGGGGAUGACGGUACCGGAAGAAUAAGCACCGGCUAACUACGUGCCAGCAGCCGCGGUAAUACGUAGGGUGCAAGCGUUAAUCGGAAUUACUGGGCGUAAAGCGUGCGCAGGCGGUUUGCUAAGACCGAUGUGAAAUCCCCGGGCUCAACCUGGGAACUGCAUUGGUGACUGGCAGGCUAGAGUAUGGCAGAGGGGGGUAGAAUUCCACGUGUAGCAGUGAAAUGCGUAGAGAUGUGGAGGAAUACCGAUGGCGAAGGCAGCCCCCUGGGCCAAUACUGACGCUCACGCACGAAAGCGUGGGGAGCAAACAGGAUUAGAUACCCUGGUAGUCCACGCCCUAAACGAUGUCAACUAGUUGUUGGGGAUUCAUUUCCUUAGUAACGUAGCUAACGCGUGAAGUUGACCGCCUGGGGGAGUACGGUCGCAAGAUUAAAA
rnacentral:rRNA from 1 species